CAGGCAUUGGCACCCUGACAGCAGGAUUGUCUGGUUAUGUAGACUCUCUCCUCAGGCCCUACGCUACCAGCACUCCCAGCUAUCACUUCAAUCUCUCUGGUCACUCUCCAAGGAACUUCCCACUCCGAGACCCUAGACACUGUGGCCUGUAAAUGCAGAGCCAGCGUCCUGGAAUCGUCUCAUGGUGCGUGGAGUGGUGGCAGUGGUGGGGGUGCUAGUCUCACUGUAGAAAUGUGGGUUUUGGAAAGGUAGAGGGAAAGCGUUUGCCUACCCGCGACUCGUCUUCAGGAAGGUGCUGACUCAUCCCUCCCAGCAGCCUGGAAGUCCGCAGGAUUCACAGGAAUCUGAGCUCCCCGCAGUGCGUGACAGGGACGGGGACCAGGCCCAGGGAACCAGAAACAGGAAUCGAGACCCAGCCCUGGAGAAUGGUGAAGGAGACCUGCUCAUGGAGGACAGACGCUUCACCCAGGAACCCAGAGAAAGGGACCCAUUAGGUGGGGACACGGGUGUGGCCCAGGAAACUGGAGUAGCAUUGCCAAUCCUCCAGGAUGACCGGGAGUCUGCAGGAAUUCAAGAUUAGUUUUUAAUUAAA